CCUACGGGCGGCUGCAGUGAGGAAUAUUGGUCAAUGGGCGAGAGCCUGAACCAGCCAAGUCGCGUGAAGGAUGAAGGAUCUAUGGUUUGUAAACUUCUUUUAUAUGGGAAUAAAGUGAGGAACGUGUUCCUUUUUGUAUGUACCAUAUGAAUAAGCAUCGGCUAACUCCGUGCCAGCAGCCGCGGUAAUACGGAGGAUGCGAGCGUUAUCCGGAUUUAUUGGGUUUAAAGGGUGCGUAGGUGGUUAAUUAAGUCAGCGGUGAAAGUUUGUGGCUCAACCAUAAAAUUGCCGUUGAAACUGGUUGACUUGAGUAUGUUUGAGGCAGGCGGAAUGCGUGGUGUAGCGGUGAAAUGCUUAGAUAUCACGCAGAACCCCGAUUGCGAAGGCAGCCUGCCAAGCCAUGACUGACGCUGAUGCACGAAAGCGUGGGGAUCAAACAGGAUUAGAUACCCGUGUAGUC
rnacentral:rRNA from 1 species